GUCUUGCUGGUCCGAUCCGAAAGGGCUUCGGUCUCAGUAAGACCGACGAAGCCGUCAGACGAUUGGGCGGAACGUUCGAUCUGUCGUCGGACUC
rnacentral:tRNA from 1 species